GUGCUCGCUUUGGCAGCACAUAUACUAAAAUGGAAUGAUACAGAGAAGAUUAGCAUGGCCCCUGCACAAGGAUGACAUGUAAAUUUGUGAAGCAUUCCAUAUUUUU